GUUUAUAGCGACGUUGCUUGCUGAUUCUCCGAUGUCAACUCUUCCUAUCAUUGUGAAGCAGAAUUCACCAAAUGUCGGAUUGUUCACCCGCUAAUAGGGAAUUUGGGCUGAGUUAGAACUUCGUGAGACAGAUUAGUUUUACCCUACUGAUAAACUGAUAUAGCUACAGUAAUCCAACUCAGUACAAGGGGAGCUGUUGGGUCAGAUCACUGGUUCAUGCGAUUUCCUGACAAGUAGGCGUUGCGAUGCUACUAUCUGUUCCAUUAUGGCUAAAUGCCUCUAAGUCAGAGUCAAUACUGAAAUGCGAAGUCCACCAGUCACCUAUGGAAACCUAUCCAGGGGAAAUGAUGAAGACGGCUUCUCAAAGCUUUAGUUUACAUGAGUUAUUGUUUUACCCUUUGUUUUGUGGAUGUUUUGCUAAUAAUUGGUUAACAUAAAGGAAAUUUUGUAGUUAAGUAUUUA